GCAGGUUAAUAUUAUACUUCCAUCUGAGAGUUUGAUCACUUUUGGAUUUGAAAGGAGGCAUUGGAUAAAAUGGGGGAAAAAAUUCGCAUACUGUUCAGCCCUGGUUUCAGGAAAGACUGGACAAGCGGGGGCUCUUUUCUCCAGGAGCUGGAAGAACGAUUCAGCAACAGAUCUCAUGGCAGCCUUCGAACAAACCUUGUUACGAGCUGAAUUCCGGAGGUGCUGACUAUUGCUGGGAUACAAUAUCAUCAGAGAUCUAGUGAUUGUAAAAUGGAAUCAAAGACUGACAGAAAAAAACUAACGGAAGAAUGGAUAAUCUUUAAGGAGGAACUGCUUCAAAUACAGUCUAGAUAUAUUCCAACAAGGACGAAAGGCAGAGGAACCAAAGCCAGAGCUCAUUGGAUGUUGGGGGAAAUAAAGAAUAUGAUGAAACAAAAAAGAGGGUGUAUGAUACAUGCCAGCAUGCUAAAAAAAAAUUUAUCAAGUAACAUGUAAAAGCCUGAUUAACAAAAUAUUGGCUCAUGAAAUAAGAGGCCAAGUGUCAGCUUGGAUAAAAAAAACUUGACUUAAGGACAGAAAAUAGUGAAUUGUGAUAAAUGGUUAUUUUUCAAACUGGUUUCGGGAUAGUAGACAGUGGUAUUCUCCAAGGGUCAAUGACCUCUGCUUUUUUGAUAUACAUAAAUUCCUUGGAUAUUGGAAUAUAGAGCAAAAUUGCAAAAUUUGCAAACUUGAAUUGUUGGCAAACAGUACAGAUGAUACAAAUUGACUGCAUCAUGUCAUAGCAAGGCUGGCAGAAUGUUCAGACAAGUGGCAGAUGGAAUUUAAUAUAGAGAAGUGCGGAGUGAAGCAUUUUG